rnacentral:lncRNA from 1 species
UUGGCUAUAGCCGAAGAUGAAAACUCCUUUGCAAGAACAGUGAACAGGAAACGUCUGGGUCUUAGAAAAGAAAAGCUCAGCCACUUCCGUCUCUACUGGCACGACGUUCUAAGUGGAAAAGACCCAACCUCCAUGCAAAUCGUUCCCCCUGUUUCGAACACUUCAAUGACUAGAUUCGGUGCGGUCCAAAUGAUCGACAACCCAUUAACGGAAACUGCAGAUAUCAAGUCCAAACUAUGGGGAAGAGCAGAGGGAUUGUAUGCAUCGGCUUCACAAGACGGAUCUGGGUUGUUAAUGGCGAUGAACUUCGCGUUUGUGAGUGGGAAGUACAAUGGAAGCUCCAUCACAAUAUUUGGAAGGAACCCAUUUUUGGAGAAAGUGAGAGAGAUGCCUGUGAUCGGUGGAAGUGGGUUGUUCAGAUUUGCGAGAGGGUAUGCGAAAGCUUCAACCGUUAAUAUUGAUUUCACAACAGGGGAUGCUGUCAUUGAAUAUAACAUUUACGUGCUUCAUUAUUGAAUUCUGCUCUUCUUUUUCUCUUUGUUGAAUUUUGAAUUUUGAAUAUUUGUUUUCAAUGUUAUAUUAUCUUUCAUUGUAUUUGAGUUCAUCUAUGUGUCGUGAAAAGGAUUAGAUAAAUUAACAAUGUUGUUUAUUACAAUGAUCUAUUCAACAAACUUUGUUGCAUGUCAAAGUAGUAAGAAGAAUAAAAGUUAGAUGAUAAUGAUAUAUACCAUCUUGAUGAUAACUAAAUCUAAAAAUUUAGAUGGUUUUUAAAACAUGAUUAGAAAUUAGAUAACAAACCAAGAACAUAAUGUGGAGUGUGCGUUGUGUAGGGGAAGACUUGAGUAGAGGCCGUGUGUAAGAGUCUAAAACAUAUUGAAAGCACCAAUGGACUUUUACACAAAACCCAAACUCAAUUAACCAAACAUUACUUCCAAUUCCAACAACCACAAUACAAUUUCAUGCCCCCACCCACACCAAAAUAGUAACAUUUGGUAAUUUGGUUUUCAAUACUAAAAGCACAAAAAACAAAAACAAAAGAAAGAAAAUGAGAAAUCAUAAUGAUGCUUUUGUUAGGUAUUUCAUGACACCCAUUGACCCACUCCAUUGAAAAAUUUUAAAAUUUGAAACAAAACCAUCAAUCAUAUCUGUCUUUAUAUAAUUGAAGUCAUGGAGAGCCUUUGGUUCACUAUCUGAAGUCUCAAACACAGAGUAACUUCAAAUUCUCCCAUUCCAUGGCUGGAAUCUCUCCCAUCUCCACCACCCACUUCCUCUUUCUCUCUUUCCUCCUCUUCUCUGCCGUAGCUUUGGCUGUAGCUGAAGAUCAAAAUUCCUUUGCAAGAACAGUGAACAGGAAACGGCUGGGUCUUAGAAAAGAGAAGCUCAGCCACUUCCGUUUCUACUGGCACG